rnacentral:rRNA from 1 species
AGUGAACGCUGGCGGUAGGCCUAACACAUGCCAGUCGAACGGCAGCACAGUAAGAGCUUGCUCUUACGGGUGGCGAGUGGCGGACGGGUGAGGAAUACAUCGGAAUCUACUUUUUCGUGGGGGAUAACGUAGGGAAACUUACGCUAAUACCGCAUACGACCUACGGGUGAAAGCAGGGGAUCUUCGGACCUUGCGCGAUUGAAUGAGCCGAUGUCGGAUUAGCUAGUUGGCGGGGUAAAGGCCCACCAAGGCGACGAUCCGUAGCUGGUCUGAGAGGAUGAUAGGCCACCUGGGAACUGAGACACGGUCCAGCCUCCUACGGGAGGCAGCAGGGGGGAAUAUUGGACAAGGGGCGCAAGCCUGACCCAGCCAUCCCGCGUGGGUGAAGAAGGCCUUCGGGUUGUAAAGCCUUUUUGUGGGGAAAAAAAAGCAGCAGGUUAAUACCCCGCUGUUCUGACGGUACCAAAAGAAUAAGCCCCGGCUAACUUCGUG